rnacentral:ncRNA from 1 species
CCCUGACAGUCGCCUGAUGCGGCUGACAUUUGCCACGACAGGAGACUCACAUG